GCGGCGGGCGAGGAGACGGGGGCGAGCCCUCCGUGCCGGCAGAGCCAGCGGAGCCAUGGUGUCAUGGAUCAUCUCCAGGCUAGUGGUGUGAGUAGCCGCCGGCGAUUCGCAACGCGGGGAUAUUACGGGCUUAUAUUUGGCACUCUUUACCCAGCAUAUUAUUCUUACAAAGCCGUGAAAUCGAAGGACAUCAAAGAAUAUGUCAAAUGGAUGAUGUACUGGAUAAUAUUUGCGCUCUUCACGACAGCAGAGACGUUCACGGAUAUCUUUCUUUGUUGGUUUCCAUUCUACUAUGAACUCAAAAUAGCUUUUGUAGCUUGGCUGCUGUCUCCAUACACUAAAGGCUCCAGCCUCUUGUACAGGAAAUUUGUUCACCCAACUCUAUCUUCAAAAGAAAAGGAGAUCGAUGACUGCCUCGUCCAGGCGAAAGACCGGAGCUACGAUGCCCUCGUGCACUUUGGGAAGCGGGGCCUGAACGUCGCGGCCACAGCAGCUGUCAUGGCAGCUUCCAAGGGACAGGGGGCCCUGUCUGAGAGACUAAGGAGCUUUAGCAUGCAGGAUCUCUCAACAAUUCGUGGUGACAGCAGCAGCACUGUUCCUCCUUCGGUCACUGUACGAACAAGUAGCAAACAGAGCCAGCCAAAAACAUCCAGAAGUGCAUCGGAAGGCACUGGCAGCUCAGACCAUAAAUGGCCACGUUAAAUAGAUGUGAACGAUAAAUAUGAAAAGCCACUUGAGGCAAACUGUGAAACGAAAGACUCUGUGUUCUCAGAUGAUGAAGAGAACGAUUUAUUGGAUAGUGCAUCCAUGAACAAAAGGCCUAAAAAGAAGGAUCAACCCCUUGAGGCACCGCCUAGGACCCUUAGACCUCGCAUCAGGAAGAAAAGUACCUCGUCCUCUGCCACUGAAACAAUGUGAGUGCAAUGAGCCAAUAGCACCAAGAUCCACAGAAUGUCUCUCUUCUGCCUUAAGGAGCUACUCGUUCAUAAUGUAGGAAGCAGCAGUGGGAUGGAUGUGCUUUGAUGUGCAGCGUUGCAGACAUGGCCUCCCUCGCUCCUGUCUCUGUUCCCCGUUCCACGCUUCUCGCGUCUGUCAGCAGUGGUUUGGGCAGAGUGACAGACACCUGCAGAUGAAGAGUUCUUGUUUUGUUUGCAGUGUUCCCCCACUCACGCUCGUCCUUAAGGCUGUACAUUGACAGUUCUCAUUGUGUCUGCAUAGCUCUAGCUCUGUGAAUGCACAGCAACAACAAAAGUCAUCAGUUGCUCGUGAUGAUACUCGACAGUGUAUUUAUUUAUCAUUAAGGAAGUGGAUUUGCAGAAGCCAUGGAUUUCUCUUCCCUCUCUUCCUCCUCAAGCCUGUGAAUGAUGUAACAAAUGCCUGAGUGCUUUAGCUGUUUGAAAAUGUCCAAGACUCAUUAGGAAAAGCUGAGUUGUAAAGCUGUUUCUGCGAGUGGAUCAAAUGUAUUCUGAUUAAAUCAUUGUGCUAAAAAGACACAGAGACAGAACUUAGGAUGAGGAAGAGAUGUGCAAGAGAAAAUGAUUGGUUUCAACAAUGUAAUGAAGGGGGAGUCUUAAUUUUGAUCAUCCUGAGCCAGGAGAAUAUUGUGUGGAAAAUGAUGGCGGCUACAAAACUGGAUCGUAUCGCUUGCGGCAAAUGUUCUACUGGCAGUUCUGGAGCACGAGCAAGGCAGUCGUGUAGUAGCUGCAGCAGCACAGUAGAAUUGCUUUAGUGACUCGCUUCCAGGGGAAAAUGAACUGUUCUCCCCUAACAGUGCCAGUCCCAGCGUUCUGCUUUCCUGGUGUGGUGCUGGAGUUUUCCUUACACGAGCAGAGCAGGACGCUGGGGCUCAGCUGCUUUUUGAAGCCUGGAGUUUUGCCUGUAGCAUGGAGUUUGGUUAGAACCACGAGAACCAGGUGGAGUGUUGUAUUUGUAUCCAUAUAUAAACGAGAAAUAUAAAAGAAGAGGAAGAUGUUGUAGGGUUUGUGUAUUUGUGCUUCAAGUUGGUGUCUCUUGUAAGUGUUAAGCAUGUGAAAUUCACACAGAAGUUAAUUACGUGGCCCUUUGUGUUUGCUCUUGGACCUGUGUCAUAGAGUAGGAAAGCAUUUAGCUUUACAUACUGGAACGUGCCCUCACUGAUGAAUGCCGGGCCGCAACCCGAGAAGCACGAUUAACCUGAGGUGCAGCAGCUUGGGAUGCCAGUGGCCGGUUGGAGUGUAUCAGGCUCAGAGAUAAAUCUGAAGUGGCCUUUAAAACCUUUUCUCUGCCAGAUAUGCAUCAGCAGCCUCGCUGUCCCUGCCUGAUGCAUCCUCGAGGUCUCCCCAGAGCCUCCAAUGCAUGUGGGGAAGAGAGAAAUAACCCUGCGCACACACUGACGUUGAUCCGACCUGGCUAGGAAGUGGAAAAAGCAAGCAGGUAUUUCCUGAGUCUGCCACCAUGUCUGGCCCCAUUAUCUGAGAGCUGUGUUUCCUUUACACGUGCUAAUUCAGUUGUGUUUUCCAAUGGGUAAGAAGGAAGAAGCCUUCAGAAAAUACAUUGAAAAGAAGCAAACAUAAAUAGCAGUUACAGAGAGUCAGUCCUUGUAAGAUACUCAGCAAAUGCUUGGAGGAGCUAAGCUUGUGUGUUUUAUUUUGAAGCAGCUUUAGAGUUUGUUUGAUUCAUUUUGGCAAACAUUAAAAAGAAAUAGCAAAACUGCCUGCAGAGUUAGCAGAAAUGAGAUCCUGUUGCAAGCAAGCCGUGUUUCCCUGCUAUGCAAUAGGUUGCCAUAAGAGAAAAAGCUGACAAGUUUGCACUCAAUUAUGCCAAAAAACCCCACGAAACAUAGAGCCACAUAACAGCUGAUAAAUUUUAUUCUCAGACAUGCUGUAUUAACAUUGAUUCUCACUAAAAUUAUUAAAUGUGUCUAAUCUGCUGUUUUACUGUCAACUUGACUGUUUGGAUUUUCUUAAGUGCUGAGGUGAAAUUGUUGACAAGGGAGUUGCCUUAUAUCUCUCCGAACAUUCAUUGUAUAAAUGAGAAAAAUAAACCUUUUCAUAUCUCUGGCA